rnacentral:lncRNA from 1 species
CAAUCGCCUAGAGAACUUUAAAUGUGUGUGUAUGCGUUCAAAAAAUAAUGGUAUGGAUCUCACAGAAUGUGAUGUCCUACUAUUGCAACACUUACACUAAUCACCUAUCAUUAUCAAGUGCAGGGUUCAUCAGGCUGUGAAGAUGGACCUUCCGCAGAAUGCUUCUCCAGUCCUUCUCCCAAGACGGCCGCUUCUCUUCCCCAGACCCACCUCCCAGGAGCCAGGCACUGAAAAGAAGACUAUGAGUCCUCCAGGUGGAGGCUGGGAUAAUCUAACUCUGAAAAGAUUCAACAGGCAAGCUGGCGCUCACAUUUUCUGCUGCAGAAGAGUUUCAGCCACUGAACGGUCGGGGCAAAGAGCUUCAUUACCCUGCAAUCCCUGGCACUGAAACACUUGCUGUUUCUAUUUCGGACUGGGGCAUGCUGAGGUCGGCCGAGGUGGUUCUGACCUCGGCCACCUUCCAGCUCUGGAGCUCCUGCCGGGCUGGACCUGCCCUCUCCUUGGAAAGCCCCUCCACCUCAGGAGAGGGCAGGAAGGAAGUCUGGCAAGGCCCAUCCAGCACAGGGUCGCUGCCUGAGGUCUCAUUUCCUUGCUGGCGCUCCUUUCAAAAUUACAUCUCUCCCCUUGAGAGCACAACUUCUUUUUUUAACCUUAAGGCUAACGUGGAAGGAAUGUGUUUGGCUUGCAGUGGUACAGUGGCAUAAACCACCGUGGGGUGACUCACACCCAGGGCUGCGGGCUCACUCAGGCAGGGCUGGGUACGGGAGGAGCAGGAGGCACCUCGCCGCAAGCUGCCACUGUGAUGGGAGACACAGAAAGCCAAGGUCACUCACUGUCAGCCUUUGGCAAGGAGGUGUGUUUGUGUGUUCACGGAGGAGGGGAGGAAAACACAGGAAGGACCGGAGUGGAAGUCAGGUUGAAUGCACAGCUCAGACCCCAGCACUCUCAGAGGUGCCCGGCCCUGCAGGGAGGUGAAGCCCUGUGGGACAGUUCCGAGUAGACAGCCACGGAACUCAGGCUGCUCCUGCCACGACCUCGGAGAUCUGAAUACCGAGCAGGGCUGUAAGAAAGUUGGUGAAAUCCUGGCUCACUUUUCUGCAUGUCGAAGCCUAGCCUGAAAUAGGUCCUGCUUGUUCCUCAGCAAGGAGGCAGGUAAACGCAGCAGGACAGGCGUGGCGCUCUCAGCGCUGAGCCCUGGAUUGUGUCCUUAAACUGCUCCGCUACCUGACACACGUGGCUUAGCCUGUCCAGGUUCAAUCAGCGUCUGAACUGAGCAGAAAGAGAGAAGCAGGUUGUUGGACCUCAGUCAUGCCCAGGGCAGAUCCCCUCACAGCAGUACCCUUCAUUCGGUCCCCACCAAUCCUGGGGAAAGUCCUCAGGUGGGGUGCUCCCCGGGGACAGCCAGGAGGUGCUGUCCUGCUAAAUUGCCUGCGUCCCAAGAACUGGCUGAGAUGGUCAACUGCAUUUACGUCCUGUAGCUGUUAUAACAAAUUAUCACAAACACAGUGGUUUAAAAACCCCAGAAAGUCGUACAGUUCCGGAG